rnacentral:lncRNA from 1 species
ACAAUUGCUGUCUGCAGCUUUUUAUUUAUUUAUUUUGAAAGUUUGAAAGAAAUUGAAAGUUAUUCACAAUGAAUUUUGGUUGCUGCACGAAACUGGUAUAAGUUAGCAACAGCAACUAAGGUUGGUCAUUUUUUUUGCAAAAUAAACCCAGUUCAGGAUGAUCGGAACACAGAAGCAUAUCUUAAAUUGAAAAUUGAUGGUUCGUUUCAAGAUCUUAUUGAAAUGCACCCUCCUCCAUUUUCUUUAAUCUAGCAAUGAUUCUGCAUGACACAUUUGUUCUUAAUGGAAAGGCGUCUUAAAGACAAACAUGGAUUGAGGAAGACAAAAAGCUACAGGAGGUGCUCUGUAACCUAUUGGUUCCAGGACCGGCCUCUCUGAACUCUUUCUGUGACCCCAAUUUCAUCCUAUGUCCAUGGUCUCUUUGGACGCUGCAGUCACCCGUAAUUGGUUUUGACAUUCUGUGUUUCGCAGUGUGUGUGAACAAGCUGUCUUUGGUGUACCAUGUCCAUGAGGUUCAUGGGAAGAAGCUAGCAAAGCCCUGCCCAAAUCUAAGCUUCCCCCUCCUCUUGUCUCCUCCUCUCCGGUCUAGAUCCAUUGGCUGGCAUCUCUGUGGUGGAAUGCUGCUGGGACCCCCUUCUAACCUCCUCUCAACCCUCCCCUUGAGUCCACCCAUCCACCCAUUAGGAAUUCCAGCAGGGCACUGUGGGUGGGAUGAAUGGCAUGAGAGCCAAGGAAAUGAAGUUCAGAGGGAUUGGCGUACAGUUAGGCCUCAUCAAGAUCUAUGAGAUCUACUGUCCACUUGAUUGAAGGCCAGGAGUGACAUAUCAGCUGUGGAACGUGUGAGGUAUGAUGAACAUGUCCAGACAGCAGCUGUGAUUCACUGUGAUCCACUCAGACGGAGUGUGUGACUUCACACCCAACCACACACAUUCACUCCAACACACCCCGUCACCUCUGCUCCCAUGACACCAUUGUCAACAAACAACAGACAAAAACAGCUCGUUGGGGACAUUUAUAUAUACACUGUAUAAACCUACUAAAAACACAGUGAAGUGUACAUAAAUAUCAAAUGAAAAGGCCAUCAAACAAAGUGUACAAAUAAAUGCAAAAAUCUGGGGGCAGAAAGUUUGUUUUUACGUUUUUGAAUGAAUGCUCACCAAUGCUUGAUAGAAAGAGG